rnacentral:rRNA from 1 species
UACGUAGGUGGCAAGCGUUACUCGGAAUCACUAGGCGUAAAGCGCAGGUAGGCGGUUCGGUAAGUCUCUUGUGAAAGCUCCCGGCUCAACUGGGAGAGGUCAAGGGAAACUACCGGGCUAGAGUGUGGCAGAGGAAGCUGGAAUUCCCGGUGUAGCGGUGAAAUGCGUAGAGAUCGGGAGGAAUACCUAUGGCGAAAGCAGGCUUCUGGGCCGUCACUGACGCUGAUGAGCGAAAGCUAGGGGAGCAAACGGG